AAACCACAACACAAACAUAUAUCUCAAAAGCCGGCCGCCCCUUUCUCGAUCUUGUUCACGAUUCGGAGUCUAUGGCCUCUGAAAUUCUUGAAAUCAAUGUAUACGGAGGCAGCAACGCAGGAGGAAGCUCCACCGCCGCCUGCUGCCGAGGAGAAGCUGCCGGAGAAAGAAGAAGAUAAGAAAGCAGAGCAAGGAGUUGAAAAGAAAGCACCGGAAGAGAAGUAAUAAGAUGAAAAGCCAGUGGAGGAAGCCAAAAAAGAGGGGAAACCGAAUGAGAAUCCAAAACAAGAGGAUUUGCCCCUUUCUCCAAGCCCUAACCCUUGCUCCCUCUCUCAUUCGAAGCCCUAACUCCUCCCUCCCAUUCGAAGGACACUUUGGCGUCAAAUCAAACCGUCUCUGCAUUUUCCGUCUAAUCAAGCGCCGUAGUCUCUGCAUUUUCCGUCGAAUUCCAUCUCCUUUCUCUCUGAUUCUUCUCUUGGGUUAAAGCCAGGAUAGCGGGAUUGCGAUUCCCAUUACUUUUUUUGUUGCCGUUAUAUUUUUUGUAUGGCUCAUGAUCAAGAAGUUGCAUAUAUGGAAGAGAGAGACUAAAACAGGGCAAGAAGAUAUGAAGAUUUUUUGUUUUAUUUUGGUUAUGUAAAGAGCUUGUAGAUAUUGUACUUCUUUGAAAUUUGUAUAUAUUUUUGUAUAAAAUCAUGAUUUGGAAUUGGUUAUAUAUAUAUAUAUAUAUAUAUAUAUAUAUAUAUAUAUAUGAUGUUAUUGGCCA